GAUGAACGCUGGCGGCGUGCCUAGUACAUGCAAGUCGAGCGAACGGACGAGAAGCUUGCUUCUCUGAUGUUAGCGGCGGACGGGUGAGUAACACGUGGAUAACCUACCUAUAAGACUGGGAUAACUUCGGGAAACCGGAGCUAAUACCGGAUAAUAUUUUGAACCGCAUGGUUCAAAAGUGAAAGACGGUCUUGCUGUCACUUAUAGAUGGAUCCGCGCUGCAUUAGCUAGUUGGUAAGGUAACGGCUUACCAAGGCAACGAUGCAUAGCCGACCUGAGAGGGUGAUCGGCCACACUGGAACUGAGACACGGUCCAGACUCCUACGGGAGGCAGCAGUAGGGAAUCUUCCGCAAAGGGCGAAAGCCUGACGGAGCAACGCCGCGUGAGUGAUGAAGGUCUUCGGAUCGUAAAACUCUGUUAUUAGGGAAGAACAUAUGUGUAAGUAACUGUGCACAUCUUGACGGUACCUAAUCAGAAAGCCACGGCUAACUACGUG
rnacentral:rRNA from 1 species